AAUUCUCAACCUCACCAAUUUUGUUAUGAAGUUGUGUGUAGGCUUGGAUGUGGGGGUUGCAGGUCCACUCUGUGGUCUGCUCCUCUGAAAUGUAUUAGUGGGUUUGGCCCCUAAUCUAUUGGUGUGAUAAUUAUCUACGCCGUGGAUUGGAAGGCUGUUACGACCUGCUUCUAACCGUCCUUCACAGGACAACUCUUGACAU
rnacentral:misc_RNA from 1 species